rnacentral:lncRNA from 1 species
AUCUACUCCUGGGGGCGGAUACAGGCCAGCUGGGCAGCUGAGAGCCUCCCACCCCACUGCACAUAAGGCUGCAGCUGUCCAAAGAACAGCCCAGUUGGGAUUUGUCCUUGGGGCUCCCAGGGGGUGGUCUGGGGGACUUUAACUCAGACACAAAGCCCUGGAUUCUGAGCUCUAUCUCAGGUGACGAAGGGGGCCGAACUACUCAUGUUGGCAAGUUUAGUUCUAGAUCAGGGUGCUUGGGCAAGGAGCUGCUCUCUGGCCACAGGCACCGGCAUUGAGACCAGUGCCAAGACCCUGGUCAGGAACCCAAGAGCUGUGCUUCCAGCAGUCUUGGACAGACACCCCAACAGCAUGAAUGUCUCCAGAAGGAUCCAUUCUCUCCGUGCACACCGACAGAAGGCAGACCCCAGCUGGCCCCGGGCCUGCAGUAACAAACACAGGUGGGGCCAGGAGGAACAGCUGCCCACCAUCCACACCAUCUACACUGUGGUCCUUCUGGCCCUCCUCAUGGCCAUCUUGGGGGCCUGGGCUCGGAAAGACACGUGAGGAUCAACCCCACAGACACUCUGCUGCCUGGGCACGGGAGGAUGUUGGCAUCAUGAGAGUUCCUUGUACCAAGGAGGACGUAGAACUGAAGGGGGGAAAGGACAGGCCCAGACUACUGAGGCCAGCGAUGGAAGCAAUAGCCAAAUACUGCCCAGCCCAGGCUGCUGCCCUUAUCCUGAGUUCCCAUAGGCUUUCCCCUUGCCUGGCAUCUGCUCCUGCCUCCUCUCUCCUAGGAGGCCAGCUCUGCAGCUACCUCCAACCUCCUGAAAAGGAACUUUCUCCCCAUCAGGCUGUCCAAGAGCCAUUUCCUGGAUCUCUUCUGCCCUUCCAUAGUAGUGGCUCUAGGGCUGGACCUCAGGAAGGAAAGGGUGGCCAGCUCUACCCCUGCAGAAAACCUAGGCAGCAUCUCUCCCAGCCUCUAAGAGUCCAGGAGAGCCAAGCAGAUGGCUGAACAGAGGGAGAGCUUCAGAAGUCUGGUCCUACCAUCCCUAGCCUCAGGCUCUAUGUGCUCCAUGGCCCCCUAGCCAAUGACUAGAGAGAAAAAAUCAUUUGUUUCAGAUACCACUCACUUUCAGUGAGUCAAUGCUGGUGGGAUUUGAACCUGUAUUUCCUUUUUUUUUAAAACCCUUACCUUCCAUCUAUGUAUUGGCUCCAAGGCAGAAGAGUGGUAAGGGUUAGGCAAUGGGGGUCAAGUGACUUGCCCAUCGUCACAUAGCUAGAAAGUGGCUGAGGUCAGAUUUGAACCCAGGACCUCCUGUCUCUGGGCCUGAUUCUCAAUCCCCUGAGCCAUCUAGCUGUCCCCUGAACCCAUACUUCUUGACUCCCAUGAGAGCUCACUAGAGAAGCAAAGCCCUCCUUGAACCAAAGGCCUUUCUUUCUCACAAUAUUCUGGUGAUGCCAUGUGGCUGCUAGGCACAGAAUGACCUGGUCUCCCCAGAUUUCAAGUUGAAGGCAGCAGGGAAGUGUCAGGAAGAUGUGGGGAAGACAUGACACCUUUUCAGUCCAGAACUGAAGAGAAAUAGCAUCAAGGAUCAUCAUAUCCGAGAGGUAGGAGAUGGGAAAAGAAAGGAGGCUGGCUGCGAAGAGAGCCAGGGGACUCCAUUGGGCUCCAUAGAGAAGAUUCCAGAGACCUCCAUGGGGAAUGAUGGGAAAAUGCGAACAAGUGUUAAAUGCAGAGGGUCACAGUCUGCACCAUUGGAGGAAAGAUCUACAUACAUUGAGGAGAUCCCAAACUCUUUGAAGCGUCCUCCACCGAGGCUGCUUUCAGCCACAACCAUCUCUGGCAAUGAUAAGUACCGAAGGAUUAUGUCUCAGUGGAGCCUGCUUUUAUUUUCCUAACUCUCUUUCCAGGUUCCAGGAGGGACACCCAGCUCUGAUGGGAGGGAAAUCAAUAGACACCCAACUCUGGACAGCCCUGCCUACAGUAAAGGAGGGGUUAAGUCUUGCUUUCUAAAUACCUCUUAUACAAAGGGACAGCCCUAAGACCAUGCUUGGCCCUGGAUGGUCUGGGCUGGUGGAACCUGGAGACCAACCUUUCACUGCAUAAAAUUAGCUCCAAAAAAAAGUGGGGGGGGUGGGGGGAGGACCUAUUUGUACACCAAUAUUUAGAGCAGCUCUCUUUGUGGCCGCCAAGAACUAGAAAGCCAGGUGAUGUCCCUCCACUGAGGAAUGGCUAAACGGUGUGGUAGAUGAUGGUGAUGGAAUACUAAUAUGCUGUAAGAAAUGAUGAAGGCGGGGUUCUGAGAAACCUGGGAAGAUUUGUAUGAACUGAGGCAGACUGAAGUGAGCAGAACCAGGAGAACAUUGGACAUGGUAACAUUGUGUGAUGACUCUGUAACACAAUGACUUUAAGACAAUUCUGAAGGACUCAUGAUGAUUUCUCAUGCUCUCCACCUCCAGAGAAAAAUCUGAUGGACUCAGUGAAGAUAGAAGCAGAUUCUUUAAAACUUUCUUUCUUUUUAUGGAUAAGUUUCUUUGUUUUCUUUUUCAACAUGGCAAAUAUGGAAACAUUUCACAUGACUUCGCAUAUAUAAUUGAUACCAUAUUGCUUCCCUUCUGUGGUGGGGAGAAUGUGUAACUCAAUUUUUAAAAAAUAAAUGUUAAAAAUUUUCAUGUAAUUGGAAAAUA